rnacentral:rRNA from 1 species
UACGAAGGGGGCUAGCGUUGCUCGGAGUUACUGGGCGUAAAGCGCACGUAGGCGGAUCGUUAAGUCGGGGGUGAAAUCCUGGAGCUCAACUCCAGAACUGCCUUCGAUACUGGCGAUCUCGAGUUCGGGAGAGGUGAGUGGAACUGCGAGUGUAGAGGUGAAAUUCGUAGAUAUUCGCAAGAACACCAGUGGCGAAGGCGGCUCACUGGCCCGAUACUGACGCUGAGGUGCGAAAGCGUGGGGAGCAAACAGG